UUGCAUGCCUGGCGUCCUCUCGUGUCUCUCCGCCUCUGUACCCCUCUCUCCCGCUCGACGAAAUGCCUCAGAGACCUCGGUCUGUUGUACUCUCUUUCUCCAACUCCAUCCUCCGUUCCUUCCCUGGGAAGGGCUGCGCCCUCCUCCAGCUCAAUGCCCGACUACCGCACCCUCGCUCUCCUCAUGAAAGGCCUCCUUCUCCUCCUUCACACCGAAAUCGCCAUGGUUUGCCGCUCUCGGAUCAUCAAAUCCGGCCUCUGACCACUUUCCUUCUCUAAUUCUGCCUUAACCACGGUCUGCCCAACCACUGCUGUACGAACUCAAAAGGGACUCCAUCGGAAUCUAACGUUCAAGGCCUUCUUCGAUAUCAAACGUGGGAGCGAGUUACACCAGCUAAUGAUCAAGAAGAACAAAGCUCAUCAUUGUUUUGGAAUCCUGACACAAAGCGGGCGGUGGCAUAUAGUUUAUUAAGACGAGCCCAGGAUGGAGAUUAUAGCAUCACAGAAUCUUCAAACAUGCGGGAACCAUCAUGAACGGAUUAAGAUAGUUUCAAAGGUGUUAUGUAGUGUGAUUUUGGCGAGUGGUAGGAGUUGGACUAUCGGUAGGUUGGCAGUCCCUUGGAUGGAUGAAAGGAUCAUGCACCCCCGAUAUUGGAAGCAUGCUACAUCAAUCAUCGACAUUGGAUCUAGGCCCCGUUGCCUCUCAAUCCGAGUUAGAAAAGGCCAGUCCUGUCUUAUAGAAACAGGCUGCAUUGUUAAACAGGUCAUGAUACAGCAAAGAGGAGUCAAAUGCCACAGCCUACAAAUUAAC